rnacentral:rRNA from 1 species
GAUGAACGCUGGCGGCGUGCCUAAUACAUGCAAGUCGAGCGAACAGACGAGGAGCUUGCUCCUCUGACGUUAGCGGCGGACGGGUGAGUAACACGUGGAUAACCUACCUAUAAGACUGGGAUAACUUCGGGAAACCGGAGCUAAUACCGGAUAAUAUAUUGAACCGCAUGGUUCAAUAGUGAAGGACGGUUUUGCUGUCACUUAUAGAUGGAUCCGCGCCGCAUUAGCUAGUUGGUAAGGUAACGGCUUACCAAGGCAACGAUGCGUAGCCGACCUGAGAGGGUGAUCGGCCACACUGGAACUGAGACACGGUCCAGACUCCUACGGGAGGCAGCAGUAGGGAAUCUUCCGCAAUGGGCGAAAGCCUGACGGAGCAACGCCGCGUGAGUGAUGAAGGUCUUCGGAUCGUAAAACUCUGUUAUUAGGGAAGAACAAAUGUGUAGGUAACUAUGCACGUCUUGACGGUACCUAAUCAGAAAGCCACGGCUAACUACGUG